rnacentral:rRNA from 1 species
AACGAACGCUGGCGGCAGGCUUAACACAUGCAAGUCGAGCGCCCCGCAAGGGGAGCGGCAGACGGGUGAGUAACGCGUGGGAAUCUACCCAUCCCUACGGAAUAGCUCCAGGAAACUGGAAUUAGUACCGUAUACGCCCUACGGGGGAAAGAUUUAUCGGGGAUGGAUGAGCCCGCGUUGGAUUAGCUAGUUGGUGGGGUAAAGGCCUACCAAGGCGACGAUCCAUAGCUGGUCUGAGAGGAUGAUCAGCCACAUUGGGACUGAGACACGGCCCAAACUCCUACGGGAGGCAGCAGUGGGGAAUAUUGGACAAUGGGGGCAACCCUGAUCCAGCCAUGCCGCGUGAGUGAUGAAGGCCUUAGGGUUGUAAAGCUCUUUCACCGGGGAAGAUAAUGACGGUACCCGGAGAAGAAGCCCCGGCUAACUUCGUGCCAGCCGCCGCCGUAACAC